CAGACGAGGAGCUUGCUCCUCUGACGUUAGCGGCGGACGGGUGAGUAACACGUGGAUAACCUACCUAUAAGACUGGGAUAACUUCGGGAAACCGGAGCUAAUACCGGAUAAUAUAUUGAACCGCAUGGUUCAAUAGUGAAAGACGGUUUUGCUGUCACUUAUAGAUGGAUCCGCGCCGCAUUAGCUAGUUGGUAAGGUAACGGCUUACCAAGGCAACGAUGCGUAGCCGACCUGAGAGGGUGAUCGGCCACACUGGAACUGAGACACGGUCCAGACUCCUACGGGAGGCAGCAGUAGGGAAUCUUCCGCAAUGGGCGAAAGCCUGACGGAGCAACGCCGCGUGAGUGAUGAAGGUCUUCGGAUCGUAAAACUCUGUUAUUAGGGAAGAACAAAUGUGUAAGUAACUAUGCACGUCUUGACGGUACCUAAUCAGAAAGCCACGGCUAACUACGUGCCAGCAGCCGCGGUAAUACGUAGGUGGCAAGCGUUAUCCGGAAUUAUUGGGCGUAAAGCGCGCGUAGGCGGUUUUUUAAGUCUGAUGUGAAAGCCCACGGCUCAACCGUGGAGGGUCAUUGGAAACUGGAAAACUUGAGUGCAGAAGAGGAAAGUGGAAUUCCAUGUGUAGCGGUGAAAUGCGCAGAGAUAUGGAGGAACACCAGUGGCGAAGGCGACUUUCUGGUCUGUAACUGACGCUGAUGUGCGAAAGCGUGGGGAUCAAACAGGAUUAGAUACCCUGGUAGUCCACGCCGUAAACGAUGAGUGCUAAGUGUUAGGGGGUUUCCGCCCCUUAGUGCUGCAGCUAACGCAUUAAGCACUCCGCCUGGGGAGUACGACCGCAAGGUUGAAACUCAAAGGAAUUGACGGGGACCCGCACAAGCGGUGNAGCAUGUGGUUUAAUUCGAAGCAACGCGAAGAACCUUACCAAAUCUUGACAUCCU
rnacentral:rRNA from 1 species